CUUCAUGGUGUAGUGGUCAGCACGCUCGACGCGUAACCGAGAGAUCCGUGGUUCGAUUCCCGGCGAAG
rnacentral:tRNA from 1 species